CUGAAGUAUCACCUCCAUCGCCAUUAUUAAACAAUAUUUGAGUAACCAGCAAUCUAUUCAAUUCCUAAGUUUUAUACUUAAAUAAAAAGAAUCUCAUGUACUCUGCGUCGAUGC